UGGGGAAUAUUGCACAAUGGGCGCAAGCCUGAUGCAGCCAUGCCGCGUGUGUGAAGAAGGCCUUCGGGUUGUAAAGCACUUUCAGCGAGGAGGAAGGGUAGUGUGUUAAUAGCACAUUGCAUUGACGUUACUCGCAGAAGAAGCACCGGCUAACUCCGUGCCAGCAGCCGCGGUAAUACGGAGGGUGCAAGCGUUAAUCGGAAUUACUGGGCGUAAAGCGCACGCAGGCGGUUUGUUAAGUCAGAUGUGAAUCCCCGCGCUUAC
rnacentral:rRNA from 1 species